UACGUAGGGGGCAAGCGUUGUCCGGAUUUAUUGGGCGUAAAGAGCGUGUAGGCGGCCGUACAGGUCAGCUGUGAAAACUCGAGGCUCAACCUCGAGACGUCGGUUGAAACCGUACGGCUAGAGUCCGGAAGAGGAGAGUGGAAUUCCCGGUGUAGAGGUGAAAUUCGUAGAGAUCGGGAGGAACACCAGUGGCGAAGGCGACUAUCUGGCUGACAACUGACGCUGAGACUCGAAAGCAUGGGGAGCAAACAGG
rnacentral:rRNA from 1 species